CCUACGGGAGGCAGCAGUGAGGAAUAUUGCGCAAUGGGGGAAACCCUGACGCAGCGACGCCGCGUGAGUGAGGAAGGCCUUCGGGUCGUAAAGCUCUGUCAGAAGGGAAGAAGUGUUAUACGGUUAAUACCCGUAUGAUUUGACGGUACCUUCAAAGGAAGCACCGGCUAACUCCGUGCCAGCAGCCGCGGUAAUACGGAGGGUGCGAGCGUUGUUCGGAAUCACUGGGCGUAAAGGGCGCGCAGGCGGCGUGAUAAGUCAGAUGUGAAAGCCCACGGCUCAACCGUGGAAGUGCAUUUGAAACUGUCAUGCUUGAGUACCAGAGGGGAAAGUGGAAUUCCCGGUGUAGAGGUGAAAUUCGUAGAUAUCGGGAGGAAUACCGGUGGCGAAGGCGACUUUCUGGCUGGAUACUGACGCUGAGGCGCGAAAGCGUGGGGAGCAAACAGGAUUAGAUACCCUGGUAGUCCACGCCGUAAACGAUGUAAAC
rnacentral:rRNA from 1 species